rnacentral:rRNA from 1 species
CGCUGGCGGCACGCUUAACACAUGCAAGUCGAACGGAGUUUUGAGAGCUUGCUUUAAAAACUUAGUGGCGGACGGGUGAGUAACACGUGAGCAAUCUGCCUUCAGAGGGGGAUAGCAGUUGGAAACGACUGAUAAUACCGCAUAAUAUAUACGGACCGCAUGAUCUGUAUAUCAAAGAUUUAUCGCUGAAAGAUGAGCUCGCGUCUGAUUAGAUAGUUGGUGAGGUAACGGCUCACCAAGUCGACGAUCAGUAGCCGGACUGAGAGGUUGAACGGCCACAUUGGGACUGAGACACGGCCCAGACUCCUACGGGAGGCAGCAGUGGGGAAUAUUGCACAAUGGGCGCAAGCCUGAUGCAGCGAUGCCGCGUGAGGGAAGAAGGUUUUAGGAUUGUAAACCUCUGUCUUUGGGGACGAUAAUGACGGUACCCAAGGAGGAAGCUCCGGCUAACUACGUGCCAGCAGCGGC